rnacentral:lncRNA from 1 species
CAUGGUCGUUCUCCUGGGACUGGAUAGCCAGUUUGUGUGUGUAGAAAGCCUGGUGACAGCGCUGGUGGACAUGUACCCUCACGUGUUCCGCAAGAAGAACCGGAGGGAAGUCCUCAUCCUUGGAGUAUCUGUCGUCUCCUUCCUUGUGGGGCUGAUCAUGCUCACAGAGGAACGACAAAGUAGGCAGGUCCCUCCUCUGGCCUUUGGGCAUGGACCACCCACCUCCAGGGAUGGGUGAGGAGCCAUUUGGCUCCACAGUAAGUGAAGAGGGCGGAAUGUACGUGUUCCAGCUCUUUGACUACUAUGCGGCCAGUGGCAUGUGCCUCCUGUUCGUGGCCAUCUUCGAGUCCCUCUGUGUGGCUUGGGUUUACGGAGCCAAGCGCUUCUACGACAACAUCGAAGACAUGAUUGGGUACAGGCCAUGG